rnacentral:rRNA from 1 species
GAGGAGUGACUAGCUAACUGAAUCAUUAAUUGAAUAACUUCAAUAUGAUGUGGUAAGGGAAAAUAAUGAUACUACCUUACUUAUAGUGUUGUCUAAAGCUGGUGCCAGAAGACUCGGUAAAGCCAGAAACGCAAACGUUAAUCAUCAUAAACAGGCGUAAAGGGUUAGUAGGCUGCUUUUUAGUUAAUAAUUUAAUCUUAACCCCUUAAGUUUAAAAAUAAAAUAAUAAAAUUUUUUUAUUAGUUUAUUUAUAUUAAUCUUUAGAGCUAGAAUCAAAAAGAAGUUAAAAAGUAUAAUACUUAGAGUAGGGAUAAUAUCUGGAGAUACUAGGCGGAAUACUAAAGGUGUAAACAACUAACUAUAAAUGAUUGACGCUGAGAGACGAAGGUGAGGACAGGAAAUAGGAUUAGAUACCCCGGUACCCCUCUCUGUAAACGAUGAAUGGUAAUCAUUAGUAUAUUACUGGUGGUAAAGUUAACACGUUAACCAUUCCGCCUUGGGAGUACGACUGCAAAGUUGAAAACAAAAAAAUUAGUCGGUCUCGAAGCAAACGGAGUGAAGCAUGUUAUUUAAUA